rnacentral:rRNA from 1 species
GCGUGUGUGAAGAAGGCCUGCGGGUUGUAAAGCACUUUCAGUAGAGAAGAAAAGCCUAGGGUUAAUAACCCUGAGUCUUGACGUAACCUACAGAAGAAGCACCGGCUAACUCCGUGCCAGCAGCCGCGGUAAUACGGAGGGUGCAAGCGUUAAUCGGAAUUACUGGGCGUAAAGCGCGCGUAGGCGGUUUUGUAAGUCGGAUGUGAAAUCCCCGGGCUUAACCUGGGAACUGCAUUCGAUACUGCUUAACUAGAGUAUGGUAGAGGGAAGUGGAAUUCCGGGUGUAGCGGUGAAAUGCGU